rnacentral:rRNA from 1 species
AGCCAGACUCCUACGGGAGGCAGCAGUGGGGAAUAUUGCACAAUGGGGGAAACCCUGAUGCAGCGACGCCGCGUGAGCGAUGAAGUAUUUCGGUAUGUAAAGCUCUAUCAGCAGGGAAGAAGAUGACGGUACCUGACUAAGAGGCCCCGGCUAACUACGUGCCAGCAGCCGCGGUAAUACGUAGGGGGCAAGCGUUAUCCGGAUUUACUGGGUGUAAAGGGAGCGUAGACGGCGAUGCAAGCCAGAUGUGAAAGCCCGGGGCUCAACCCCGGGACUGCAUUUGGAACUGUGUGGCUGGAGUGUCGGAGAGGCAGGCGGAAUUCCUAGUGUAGCGGUGAAAUGCGUAGAUAUUAGGAGGAACACCAGUGGCGAAGGCGGCCUGCUGGACGAUGACUGACGUUGAGGCUCGAAAGCGUGGGGAGCAAACAGGAUUAGAUACCCGUGUA